UACAGAGGGUGCAAGCGUUAAUCGGAAUUACUGGGCGUAAAGGGCGCGUAGGUGGCUGAUUAAGUCAGAUGUGAAACUCCUGGGCUUAACCUAGGAAUUGCAUUUGAAACUGAUUGGCUAGAGUUUGGGAGAGGGAAGUGGAAUUUCCGGUGUAGCGGUGAAAUGCGUAGAUAUCGGAAGGAACAUCAGUGGCGAAGGCGACUUCCUGGCCCGAUACUGACACUGAGGCGCGAAAGCGUGGGGAGCGAACAGG
rnacentral:rRNA from 1 species